GGAGAAGUACUCAAGUCUGGUUUAAGAGGCCUGUUUAAUUUAUUAGGCAGGUAGGUCGUUAACGUUUGUUACGAUGCGAGGGUUCAAAUCCCUUUCCUUCUCCA
rnacentral:tRNA from 1 species